rnacentral:lncRNA from 1 species
UCCGGCGCUCCGGAUGCCCCUCAGGGGAUUGCCCCGGGUCCCCCCCGGGUCUGCUACCCUUGCGGUGCGUCCUCCGCAACUUCCCUUGCGGUAAAGGCAUCGUCUCUCCCUCUCUUCGUUCGUCUAAGACUGCAGUCGUUCGUUACGCUCACUCCGCUUGCUUGUCUCGCUUCGCUCGCUUACCCGUUCAUGCUUCUUAUAAGCCGGACCGGACUAAAAGGCCGAGAAAACCUCUGCAAGCGGUAACUCGUAUAAUAACCACUGAACCUCAGUUAAGGCCCGAACCGGAUAAGGAUUCGGGAAAAAAGCUUACCCGACGGCUCGCGUUUAGCGAUCCUAGGGACGAUAGUUAUAGACUCUGAGACAAUAAGGCAGUGGCUUUCCCAGUAAGCUUUUAGGCGGUCUUGGGAAAGGAACAGGAGGGGCCAGGGGGACCUUCUGUUCAAAGCGGUACUCGAUAGGUGGCUCCAUACGAUGGGAUUGGGACCUCUGAAAUCUUGAAUUUAGCCCUUUUGGGGGUGCACGUUCAAAGUAAUAGGAGCUCCCCCGUCGGAGGUGAACCGGAAGAGGCUUAUCGCCCUCGUAUGUGUCAAGUAUGUGUGCUCGUUUGUGUUUGUGUUAAGUGGGCUCGUAGAGGCGGCCUAGCUGCUAUAGUCUUACAAGCAAUACAAGGCUCAAUAAGGCGCGUUUAUCGGCUCCUAUUGCUCAGUGUAUUGUUGUUUAAAGGGCUACUAGUUUAAAUGCUGUCAAGCCCAGAGGCGGCCCCUUUGGGAGCUGAUCUGGGGGCGGAGCAGCUCAUAGUAAGA